rnacentral:lncRNA from 1 species
AUCAAGAAACAAAUGUGGCCACAUGUAAUGCUCCAUGUUUAUAUUAAUGUUUGCUCAACGGUUCAAUUGAAAAUGUAGCUAAGUUAAAAAAAAAAUUACUACUACCAUUCACAUUUUCAAAUUGAACAUUUUUUAGUUUGACCAAAUUUUCAAUUUGGACUCGGUCUUUUCUCAAUUUCAAUACUUAAAUAGUGCACUAUUUAGAGAAAGAUUAAAGAGUCAAAAUUUCUGUUUAAAUCUCUCUUAAUUAUAUAUAACCUUUCAGUUACCCAACAGAGAAAAAACCAGAGAAUAGAAUAAAAAACAAAAAUUAAAAGAGGUAAAGAAAAUUGAUGAAGAAAAAAAAGGCAUAAUUCUUCUACAUACAAUUGAAGCAAAGAUUCUUCGAUUCUGUAUUACAAAUUUAUCUCUCUCUCUCAACCUCAUCAAUGCCAUUAAUUUAAAUAAAAAUCUAAAACAAAAUCUAAAAAAAAAAAAAAAACAAAUAAGAAAAAUUCAAUUGAACUCAAUUCAAGUACUUGUUGAAGAAGAAGAAGGACCCAAACGAGCUCUUGGAGAAGUAGUUGGAAACAGAGGAAGCAAACGAGGUUGUUCAGAGUCUCUUGGAGUAGUUGAAGGUGAAGGGUGUAAGAAAAACUUCUUUUCUUUUAUAGCUUUUUCUUCAGCUUCAAUGUUCAAAACUGGUUUAGGACUUCCAUUUCCACAUCGGUGACCAGAGACGGUGGUUCUGUUAAAAGGGUCCGGUAUAAGAGGUGUAACAGGGCUAAGAACAAGCGCAGGAAAAUCUAGGAUACUAGGAGACAGAAUUUCAGGUUUUCUAGGUGAAAAGCUUGAAGGGUUGUUUGAAUUUGAAGAGAAAACAGGAAGUAAUGGGUUUAGGUGAAGAUUUUUCAAAGAGUUUCUUCUUUCAUAGAGUUUGAAACCAGAUUUUUUUGGUGGAAUAUGGUUUCGCAGGUUGUUGUUUGAGGAAGUUGAUGAUGUUUGUUUUGUUGUUGUUUCAGUGGAUCCAGUUAACAUUUGAACAACUUGUUUGAAUGAAGAUGGGUCAGCUUGAACAAAUGUUGUCGGGUAUGGGUUACCCGGUUCGGAUCUGGUGACUGGUUUUGGUGGGUAUGGUGAAGGUGGGUUAUGAUGAUGAUUGUUGUUGUUACUGUUGCUACUGCUACAUGAACUGUGGCUAUAGCGUGGUGAAGGAAGAGAAGUGUUGUUUCUUGGUGAUUUCAUGUUAUUCUUGUUUGACUCCAUUGUUGGAGAGAGAGAGAGAGAGAGAGAGAGAGAGAGGGUAGAAUGAAACUAUGUUGAAGGGUACCCUUUGUAAGUUUGGUUUGGUUUGGUUUGGUAAGAAAUGUAUUUGUAGGACCCUCUGUUGAGACUUGAAAAACUAAUUCAUCUAACUACGCGCUUUGUAGUGAGUGAGCUAUAGAUAGAUACAUAUAUAUAAAUUGUAAGGGGAGGGUAAUAGUGUCAUUGUAAAUGUUAUUUUUGUUUACUUUUUAUAUUUAAAUCUUUAUUUUUGUUAGUUAAUUAUUUUAUACACGUAUUUGGAAUUAUUCAUGUAUUGAAUUUCUUUUUUAAAAAAAG